rnacentral:lncRNA from 1 species
GAUUUAACAGCUUUUGUUUUGGGCAGAAGAACCUAUGGGCACAAAAAGCAGGAACGAGUAGCGGUGGCUGAAGAACGAGCAGGAGCUUGAAUUUCAGUUUUCUUAUGAGGAAUUUUCCAGAAAAGAUAUCUUCACUGUGAAAUAACUAAAUAAAUGCCCACUCAGUACAGUCACUGUCUCCCUUUUGGAACUUGAUGGCACCUUAAGCCCAGGUUUGCCUCCACUCUAGAAACUCAUCAGAGUGAUGCCCUUCUCAAAUGGGGGAGGUCCCAAAGCGGAUAUCCUGGCAGUGUGAAAGGCCGGCUAAAGCUUUCCCUGCACUCCAAACACAGAGCUGAGACUUCCACCUAAUGUAGAAAGCUAGCACGAGCCGGCGCUGACAGAUGGAAGACUUGAGAUGUUACAAGAUUAUAUAUGGAAACACAAAAGGAGUGGAGUUGCUGGGUCAUAUGGCAAUUCAUUUGAGGAACUGAGAAGCUUAUUCCAUGGAGGCUGAACUGUUUUAUAUUCCCACCAGCAACGUGUAAGGUUCCAGUUUAUCUACAUCAUCACCAACACUUGCU